GAGGAAGCGAACGGAAGGAAGAGCGACCGGAGAGUAUCGACAGGCUUUGCCAAGAGUGUCCGGGUGGACGCCCGCAGGCUGGGAAGGAAUCCAGGACUACGCAGCAGACCCCGCAAGCUACCGGAGUGAACCCCAAGAAGCCCACAACACGCAGGGGCAGAGGCAACUCUGCCUCCAAAGAGCAGUCGGGACCCAGAGACCUGCGGUGACUCCCAGGAGCGACCAAGAGGCGGGGCGAGACGGGACGCGUACGGCCACGUAGGUCCCACCAGAGACUGGUGAGGAGAGUGGGCGUACUCAAUAUUUCUACGCGGAACUACAGCAGAGGUUGCGUGCAAGUGUGACGUCAGCCCUGAGAGCGUCUCCGUGUUUUUAAAUGAUUUUAUCCCCGUGGCCUGCCUCCGAUUUAAUUUGUGUGCAGGAGGACGCUGUGGAAGUGAGCGGAGCCAGGACACUGACCACGCCUGUCGUGGCUGUAACCUCACCUAUAUUUUGUUUACCAAUUGGUAUUUUUAGUGUCAUCCACUUGACUGUUUUUUAAUCUAUAUUGUAAUAAAUUGUAAAUGAGCAUCA